UACGUAGGGUGCAAGCGUUAAUCGGAAUUACUGGGCGUAAAGCGUGCGCAGGCGGUUUUGUAAGUCUGACGUGAAAUCCCCGGGCUUAACCUGGGAAUUGCAUUUGUGACUGCACGACUAGAGUGUGUCAGAGGGGGGUGGAAUUCCACGUGUAGCAGUGAAAUGCGUAGAGAUGUGGAGGAACACCGAUGGCGAAGGCAGCCCCCUGGGUCAAGAUUGACGCUCAUGCACGAAAGCGUGGGGAGCAAACAGG
rnacentral:rRNA from 1 species